CUUUUAGAGAUAGAAGUGUUCUCUUCGGAGACAAAGUGAAAGGUGGUGCAUGGUUGUCGUCAGCUCGUGUCGUGAGAUGUUGGGUUAAGUCCCGCAACGAGCGCAACCCUUAUUGUCAGUUGCCAGCAUUAAGUUGGGCACUCUGGCAAGACUGCCGGUGACAAACCGGAGGAAGGUGGGGAUGACGUCAAAUCAUCAUGCCCCUUAUGACCUGGGCUACACACGUGCUACAAUGGACGAUACAACGAGUCGCUAGACCGCGAGGUUAAGCUAAUCUCUGAAAGUCGUUCUCAGUUCGGAUUGCAGGCUGCAACUCGCCUGCAUGAAGUCGGAAUCGCUAGUAAUCGCGGAUCAGCAUGCCGCGGUGAAUACGUUCCCGGGUCUUGUACACACCGA
rnacentral:rRNA from 1 species